rnacentral:rRNA from 1 species
AGCUUGUUGGUGAGGUAAAAGCUCACCAAGGCGACGAUCUGUAGCGGGUCUGAGAGGAUGAUCCGCCACACUGGAACUGAGACACGGUCCAGACUCCUACGGGAGGCAGCAGUGGGGAAUUUUGGACAAUGGGGGCAACCCUGAUCCAGCCAUGCCGCGUGAGUGAAGAAGACCUUCGGGUUGUAAAGCUCUUUCAGCCGGGAAGAAAACGCAUGGGUUAAUACCCUGUGUGGAUGACGGUACCGGAAUAAGAAGCACCGGCUAGCUACGUGCCAGCAGCCGCGGUAAUACGUAGGGUGCGAGCGUUAAUCGGAAUUACUGGGCGUAAAGCGUGCGCAGGCGGUUUUGUAAGACAGGCGUGAAAUCCCCGGGCUUAACCUGGGAACUGCGUUUGUGACUGCAAGGCUAGAGUACGGCAGAGGGGGGUGGAAUUCCACGUGUAGCAGUGAAAUGCGUAGAGAUGUGGAGGAACACCAAUGGCGAAGGCAGCCCCCUGGGUCGAUACUGACGCUCAUGCACGAAAGCGUGGGUAGCAAACAGGAUUAGAUACCCUGGUAGUCCACGCCCUAAACGAUGUCAACUAGGUGUUGGGAGGGUAAAACCUUUUAGUACCGGAGCUAACGCGUGAAGUUGACCGCCUGGGGAGUACGGCCGCAAGGUUAAAACUCAAAGGAAUUGACGGGGACCCGCACAAGCGGUGGAUGAUGUGGAUUAAUUCGAUGCAACGCGAAAAACCUUACCUACCCUUGACAUGCCAAGAACUUCCAGAGAUGGAUUGGUGCCCGAAAGGGAACUUGGACACAGGUGCUGCAUGGCUGUCGUCAGCUCGUGUCGUGAGAUGUUGGGUUAAGUCCCGCAACGAGCGCAACCCUUGUCGUUAAUUGCCAUCAUUUAGUUGGGCACUUUAACGAGACUGCCGGUGACAAACCGGAGGAAGGUGGGGAUGACGUCAAGUCCUCAUGGCCCUUAUGGGUAGGGCUUCACACGUCAUACAAUGGUCGGUACAAAGGGUCGCCAAGCCGCGAGGUGGAGCCAAUCCCAGAAAGCCGAUCGUAGUCCGGAUCGCAGUCUGCAACUCGACUGCGUGAAGUCGGAAUCGCUAGUAAUCGUGGAUCAGAAUGUCACGGUGAAUACGUUCCCGGGUCUUGUACACACCGCCCGUCACACCAUGGGAGCGGGUUCCGCCAGAAGUAGGUAGCCUAACCGCAAGGAGGGCGCUUACCACGGCGGGGUUCGUGACUGGGGUGAAGUCGAAACAAGGUAGCCGUAGGGGAACCUGCGGCUG